CGUGAGAUGUUGGGUUAAGUCCCGCAACGAGCGCAACCCUUGCCCUUAGUUGCCAGCAUUUCGGAUGGGAACUCUAAGGGGACCGCCGGUGACAAACCGGAGGAAGGUGGGGAUGACGUCAAGUCAUCAUGGCCCUUAUGACCAGGGCUACACACGUGCUACAAUGGGCGGUACAGAGGGUUGCCAAGCCGUGAGGUGGAGCCAAUCCCUGAAAGCCGUUCGUAGUCCGGAUCGGAGUCUGCAACUCGACUCCG
rnacentral:rRNA from 1 species